rnacentral:lncRNA from 1 species
UGUACAAUUUGUAUGACACGUGGCAUAUGCCAUGUAUGCCCUGACACGUCAAAAUUUUAAUGCAUUGGUGAACAUUUAUUUCACCGCAAUUUCGAUGUCUACACUGUUAUUGAAGGGUCAUGCAAGGAAAGUGGUGCAUAAUCUUAGAAAGCAUGAUAACCAAGAAUCACAAUUGUGAGCAGAAGCACAUACUCCAUGCAGAUUUGAGAGUGUGUACAAAAGCAAUGUGGUUGGAAAUUUACAUGUAGUUUGUGUUCUCAAUCCAAAACAAACCAAAAAAGUCAUAUAAUCUUCACAUACGUAGACAGAAUUCUACGGAAUUGUGAUUCAUGAACCUCAAUCUUCAGACAUAGUUGCCUUGGUUAGAGUAGAUUGGAGUGAUUGCUUUACUCAAUCACAUAUAGGAACUAGCUUGUGGCUGGAUGGGUUAUAGUCUUAUAGAAUACCCUAAUAUUCUCUUUCUAGUUUUAUUGUUUAUUUUUCAUUUUACUAUCAUAAUGUAAUUCGAUUUUCAACUCUUUGUGGCAAAGUUUGUUUUCUCUCAAUCUGUUAGUUUAUCCGUUAAGUCCUCAUUAAGAGUGCAUGUGACUAAUAAUCCUCAAUCUUAGCCAGUCUCUUCUAACUCAAACCUAAUAAAGAAAUUUAAAUUUUACUCUAAUAUAUUUUCAUGUGAAUAUCUUACUCAUUAUGUAAGCUAAUUACAAUAAAUAUAAAUAUCAUCUAAGCAUGACAAGAAUUGGCUAGUGCGUUGAAACUUGAAAGAAAAAAAAGUUGGUGGGUCAAUUGAGAAUUGAGAUUACGUCAAUGACUCAAUAAUGAUUCAAUAGUCAAUAGUAGAUAAUUAUAUAAACUGAAAUUCCACCGAUUUGAAUAUAUAAAGACGCGAAGUUCAAAUAUUGUACGCAACAACAACCCUACUUUUGUAAAUUAGUUUGUGAAUAUCCAAUUCUUAAGCAUAAUAAUAUUGCCUAACCAUGUAGAUCUAGCGUUGCUUUUGUGUCAAGCAGGAGUCUCUAAGUUUGACCACAUCUUUAAAAAAGUAAGAAAGGCAAUCAAUACUAAUUAGGACAAACCCCACUAACUUUGUUUUUCCUCAUUCUUUCUACUUUUAUUUCCCAACAUUUGUAUUCCAAAGUGAGUUUGGAUCCAAUUCGGAUGCCCAUCGUGAAGAUUAUAGGGGUUCUCACAUUCUAUCCAUUCAUCGUACAUCAUGUGAUCAAAAUAAUUUUUUGAUUUUUUUAUUUAAAAUUAAACAUAAACAAUGUCUAACUAAAGCUGAUCGCACAAUGUUACGAUGAACGGAUAGGAUAUAAGGAUCCCUAAGUUCCUCACAAAGAGGAAGUGGAAAGAAUCCUUAUCCUCCAAAGGUAACCAACAACAACAACAACAACAACAACAAAGCCUUUUCCCACUAAGUGGGGUCGGCUAUAUGAAUCCUAGAAUGUCAUUGCGCUCGGUUAUGUGCCAUGUCUUCCGUAAAGUCCAAGUACUCUAAGUCAUUUCUUAGAGUCUCUUCCAAAGUCUCACGUGACACUAAAUGAGUUUCAUGUAAGUUGAUCUAAAAAAGACCAUAUAUAAUUAGGGUUGGAAAUUUUUUCCGAAAAUCCCAAACCAAACCAAAAAAAUCAUGAUCCCAUACUGAAAAAUUCCAAAACCAAUAUACCAAAAUUUUCAGAAUCCAUACUGAACCGAUCCUGUACAUGUCGGUACAGGAAUCGAGAAUACAUAUUCAAUGGUUCAUAAAUCCCGAACCGAACCAAUAUAUAUAUAUAUACACACACACACACAUAUACAUAUACAUACAUAUAUGCAUAUAUAUAUAUAUAUAUAUAUAUAUAUAUGUAUGUAUGUAUUUAUUUUGGUUGCAUGCAUGUUGAAUGUUGAAUUUAAGUAGUUUGAUAGUGACCAUAUUAGAGAUAGAAAUAUGAAAUUAAGUAGUUUGGAACUUUGGAAUGACAACUUGGCUUGGUAUGAAUGAAUUAGUAUUUCAAUUGGUAUGAGGUAAAAAACUUAAAUUUUAAUUGAUAUAAAAUUGGGUAACAAAAUUUCAGACCAAAAGUCCAAAUUUUAACCCAUAGCAAAAAAAUCUCAAAUUUCAACCAAAAAGUUCAAAACCCAUAAUCCAGUACUAAUCCAUCUCGAAAUACUAAAAAUUAGGAAUACCGAAAUUUCAAUCGGAGAUUGUCUUUAAAUUCUCGUCUGAAAUUUUUCGAUUUAGGAUUUUGGAUCCCAUUUUCAAUUUGAAAUCUCAUACCAAACCAGCCAUACAUGUAAUGCAAUAAUUUCACACGAAACCUAAUGAGAGGUACUGAUCCUUAUUUUGGUAGACGACCUUAGACUUUUCCAGGCAGCAGAAGUCAGAUUUUUUAUUGAGUAGGAAAUGUGAUGCACAUUUUGAUGACACGCCCAAAAAUGGUAGGCUUUGAGUCUAAGCAGCGUGUGUAGUGUACCACAUAAGCAUGACAAGAUCGAGAAAAAACUUGUGUUACUUGGUAGUGUGCCUUAGUGAGCCACUGCUAUUUUUUCCGCAGAUUAAAUUGACGAAGUUAAGAUUUAUUCGGAGUCUCGGAGACAUCUUGUAAAAUUGACGGAACUAAAGAGCUUAAAAGAGCUAUAAAACCAAUGAGCUAAAAAGCAAAACUAAAACAGGCUAAAGACGCACAAACACAAUGAACAAAAUUAAGCACAAGUCUAAACCAAGCUCCUAAAAUGCAAAAUAACUAAACUCUUAAAGCAACUAGAACCCUAAAUCUGACUAUUGUUAUCACCUUAAGCAGCGGUACAAUCAAACUCAUCGUAUUUAGCCUCGACCUCCAACGAUCCCACUGCCCCAAUCAACAAUCCCCAUUCUCCCCUCUCAAGGAGAAAUUUUUAGUUGUGACGGGAACACAAGUAGUACACCACGUGUUUUAAUAAGAGUGGUGUGAAAUUUUAUUUUUUAAGUUAAUAACAUUUUAGCACACAUAUCCUACCAUUUGUAUAAUGACACGUGGUAUACCACCCUGUGUACUAAUCACACUGAAAAAUCUCUCCCUCUCAAGGUCACAAUUUGUUUAACACUCAGUAUGAAGAGUGAAGGAGGAUUAAAAAAGUGUGACAUUACCAACAAGAUUGCAAAUCACAUUGUCCUUUGUUUUCCUUGUAAUACUAAUUAAUUGUACAUACCAUUAUUGUUUGUUGUCGUCCUUUUUCAAUCAAUAGAUCAAAUUUUUACUAAAGAUUUUAGAAUCCAUGGUGGUGCAGUGCAGGUGAACCAUAUGGAGUGACAGACAGAAGGGCAGGCAGUCCUCACCUCUGAA